UACAGAGACUGCAAGCGUUAUUCGGAUUCACUGGGCGUAAAGGGUGCGUAGGCGGUCGGGUAAGUCUGAUGUGAAAUCUCACAGCUUAACUGUGAAACUGCAUUGGAUACUAUCCGGCUCGAGGAAUGGAGGGGAGACUGGAAUACUUGGUGUAGCAGUGAAAUGCGUAGAUAUCAAAUGGAGACACCAGUGGCGAAGGCGAGUCUCUGGACAUUUCCUGACGCUGAGGCACGAAAGCCAGGGGGAGCAAACGGG
rnacentral:rRNA from 1 species